rnacentral:rRNA from 1 species
CUAAGGAAGCUGAUGGAGAAGUAGAGAUCUAAGAGAAGUCACAAAAGCAAGCGGAAGCACACUGAGAAACUUUGUUUAGUUUUGAGGGUAGUACCUCAAAGAGCUAGUACAUUGAAAACUGAAUAUAAUCCAAGUAAAAAACCGAGAAAAUCAAAGAGAACAGAUUGUAAGGCGACCGAGAAGAGAAUUCUUGAGUAA